rnacentral:rRNA from 1 species
CCCUGCCAUUUGUACACACCGCCCGUCGCUACUACCGAUUGGAUGGUUUAGUGAGGCCCUCGGAUCGGCCCCGCCGGGGUCGGCCCACGGCCCUGGCGGAGCGCUGAGAAGACGGUCGAACUUGACUAUCUAGAGGAAGUAAAAGUCGUAA